rnacentral:lncRNA from 1 species
AUGGGCCUGGCCUCCCAGGCUCUGAGUGCCUGUGGGCUGCGGCCAGACCUCUGUCCUGCUCCCUUCCCCCCACCCCAAUCCCCCCAGACUGCUUGUCAUCAUGUCCUACCGGGCCUGCCUGUACGGCCGUCCUGUAUCCACGAGUCCCAGGCUCUGCCUUGCCCCCAGCCUCAUGGCCGGUCUGGGGGCUGCCACCUGGCCUGUCGCUUCUGUUCUUGCGCUUCUCUUCUUGCACCUUCUCCUGUCAUUGCCAUCCCUACGAGCCACCUCCCUCCACCGAAAACCAGGCUGCAGGUCAGCCCGUCCUCGACACCCUGGCGGCGACAGUCGGCUGAAGAACUGGAUGGAAGAGGCAGGAGAGUUGCCCUGGACCAGCGCUCCUUCAGGACGGUCACCUGGCAUCUCAUGCCCACCUGGUGCCCCGUGACUCCCUCCUGGUUUGGGCUGAAGCCGUCUCGAAUCCUCCGUGGGACAGGACCGUGGACACGCCACCCCAGUACCCUCCAGCUCCAAAAUCACUUCAUCACGUCACUGGCUGCCUUGUGUCUCAUUGAGAGGCUAUGUCAAUCAUUCACCACAUCAACCUGCUAUUGUUACUAUUGCUAUGCAUAA